GACGAACGCUGGCGGCGUGCUUAACACAUGCAAGUCGAACGGAAAGGCCCUGCUUGCAGGGUACUCGAGUGGCGAACGGGUGAGUAACACGUGGGUGAUCUGCCCUGCACUUCGGGAUAAGCCUGGGAAACUGGGACUAAUACCGGAUAGGAGCCAUUUUUAGUGUGAUGGUUGGAAAGUUUUUUCGGUGUAGGAUGAGCUCGCGGCCUAUCAGCUUGUUGGUGGGGUAAUGGCCUACCAAGGCGGCGACGGGUAGCCGGCCUGAGAGGGUGGACGGCCACAUUGGGACUGAGAUACGGCCCAGACUCCUACGGGAGGCAGCAGUGGGGAAUAUUGCACAAUGGGCGCAAGCCUGAUGCAGCGACGCCGCGUGGGGGAUGACGGCCUUCGGGUUGUAAACUCCUUUCGCUAGGGACGAAGCUUUUUGUGACGGUACCUAGAGAAGAAGCACCGGCUAACUACGUG
rnacentral:rRNA from 1 species